GGCCUGAUGGUCUAGUAGUAUGAUUCCUUGUUAGGGUGCGAACAUUGUACCGAAUUUUCGAGGAGGUCCCGGGUUCAAUUCCCGGUCAGGCCC